UUUUAAGGUGAGCAAAGGAAGUGGUUUCUUGUGAUAGAAUCUACUCCUUGUGAAGAUGCUGUGAA
rnacentral:pre_miRNA from 1 species